AAAAAAAAAAAAAAACUAAGGUAAUCACAUGGUUGUGAAUCAUCUGCAGGCUUCUGCAGUUUACUACUGAAAAACCUGACCAAUUAUUUCGCUAGGGCAUGGCAGUGGUCCAUGUGGGGUUUAAGAAAAACAAGAAUGUAAUGAAUUCAGGCCACGGAGGGUUGCAUAAAGUAUCAUUUGGAGCAUGGCUGGAGACUCCGCUGCCUCAUAGGCUGCAUCCUGGAUUUGAUAAUGAAAAAGCAUGACAAGAAAAUGACAUUCACAGGUACGUCUGUGCUACGUAGCAAUUUCAGCAGUAACAAUAUAUGUUCCUGUCAGUACCAAUGUUCCCACAUCAAGCAUAUGCAGACGACAGGGCUGCAAUCUGGGGCUUGGGUCUGCUGCAUCUCUCCCCUGUUGCCUCAUAAUGAGGGCUGACUCGAGCAGAGAUUAACCACGAUCUGGCUUACGUUAACCCCCCCAGCAGCUUCACGAGCUUCGGAUAAAGAUGAAAUAUUUUAACGUGGGACUAUAAGCUCAACAAGACGUGAAGCAUGAGGCCUGUAAAUGUGGCUGCCAAGACAUCACAGUGCGCUGGCAUCGUGAUCAGCAGACCUCCCAAACACUCAGUCUGUACCUGAACCAACAUGACGAACAAAGUGAUACAAAUACCUAAAUGCGUGUUUGCUAUAUUUUGCUAAUAUAUAAUGAAUUUAUCAACACCUUUGUGUAGUAGUAGCUAAGACAAUGUGCACUGCCAAGCUGCCAUUUAAAAAAUAAAAAAUAAAUUCUACUCAUAGUGAGAUUGGUUGCAGGUGUUGUUGCCUCACUUCUGUCCACUGCCAAAAGGUUAAUGACCAGAUCAUUCAGGAAUCAUAAAAACUGUUGUUAAGUUUACCAUAUUAUUUAAACAAGAUCUUUCAGAAGUGAAUCUGAGAGUAAGGGCUUGUGAAAUAUCCAUUACAACCAUCCAUUGUGUAAGAAAAACUGCGUACCGCAGGUCAAAAUCUAAUUGAUGUUUACAGCAGUUUUGGUAAUAAUUUUCACAUUUGCCUUUGUUUUCUCUUCUAAGUAAUUAUGAUUAAAUUGAGAGGUUGUUUAAGUGUCACAAUCAUCUGACUACCUGUGUUGCUGCUUAAUGUUCUAAAAAAAAAAAAAUAAUAGAACUGCAAAGAUCCAAUUUACAGAAAUAUAUGCAAAUGAUGAUCUUUUUUUCAGGUUUAUUACAGCUUGGGGUUUGCUGUCAGAGUUUUGGCCAUCAUUUUAAUUUCACUUUUCCUCACCAUGGGAAGAUAGAUAGAUUGAUGGAGUGCUUUAUUAAUCCCAAAGGGAAAUUGCACUGUUACAGCAGCCAGUUCACAUAAAACACAAAAACAAACAGGGAAGGUGAGAAACAAAAUACAAUAAAAGUCAAAUGACAAAAAAUAACAAAAAGAUCAGGAUCUAAAACUCAGAUUUAUUCUGAAUAUAAACACUAUCAGUGCUGAGUGACGUGACUGAUUGUGUUCCAGUUAUUAGUCAGACCCCAUGUAUUUCCAUGGAAAUGGGAAAAACACUCACCAAAACCUUUUAAUUUUGAGUGCAAAUUGCUUCUCAACAUGAACAGAUUUUGAUUAUACAUUUCACUUUGAUGGUAAUAGUUGUAUAAUCGCAAUAUUAACCGAGAGGGUGUGCUUAAACGUCAUUUGAGCAUGACCGUAUCACUGAUGCUCUAAAGAUAUACCAUAAUAGGCAUAAGGAACACUUACAAAGACAAAAUGUUAAUAAUAAUAAUAGUAGUCAAAAUUACAUCCAUUAUGUAAAUGUGUGUUAAUGCAGGUUUUUUCAGAUUACUUUGUUUGGAGGCAAAAUCACUUGCAAUGUCACUUAGAAUCCUUUAAAGCAAUGGAAAAUGUGUUCCUACAUCUACGGUAAGUACAGAAGGUCAGAACUGAGGCUGAUGGGAUGGGUCUGUAAACCAUGAUCGGUGAUUACAACUGGAAGUUUUGGUAAUAAUUUAUCAUCUGCUGUGCUGAUUAGCCUGACUUUUCCUAAUGAGUCAGGCUUAUUUGGGGAUUUGUUUAAAAGUCAUACAAUAGUUUGUGUUUCUUGCCACUUCUUCAAAUUCGCAUGGCUUCCAGAUCCAAGUAGUUAAUCAAGUAAAAUACGACCAAUAGAACUGAUGGCGAACACUACAAAAAAUAAGCUCCAUGAUCUAAUAAACCAGAAUCAGUUAUUUCACUCCCGAGACAAGGAAUGGUGCCUGUUUUCCCAUUGAUGUCAGACUCAAUAUCUUCUUUAAACCUUACUUUUCAACACUAAACACUGAAAUAAAAUAUUCAGUUUGCCUCUUCAAUUCUGAGCCUACACAUCUUAACCUCCUCUUUAAGGGUGGAUGCACAUGGCUGAUGGAUUUAGCUCCAAAUGGGCCGUCCCUCUCACGAUCAAAAAUCAUACAUCCCGGUUUUUCACUUUCUCCUUCACCACCAAAUAAAAAAAACGGCCGGACGGUAACUUUGGCACAUGAUUAAGUCAAGAAAUUUUGUAGCGGUUUGCAUCCAGGCUUCCCUUAACCCUCGGAUUUUACUCAGUUUCUGUUUUGAGACAUAUUCAUCCAUCUGCACGCUCUUGAUCUCCAGUCCAAACCACAACGAUGACUCACGGGUAAAUGAGCAGAGGUUGGGGGGGGGGUGUACAGAAAGCGGACAGAUUAAGUCGCAGGGAACAGUUUGUGGCGCGGAAUCAGAGAGACGUAGUUUGAAUGAGACUGCUUGCGGGUGCUGGAGGCCUAUCAGGCGGUGCAGUUGCCUGGAAUAACAAACAGAGACUGUCAGGAUGACGAGCAUGGAUGGUGGUCCCUACUGUAAAGCCUUUUAUAGUAGAUCCUUCUCCAGAGAAGAGGGAAAGAAGAUGAAUUUCAUUUUAAUUCUGGAAAGGCUUUGGGAAGGCUUCCAGUGUGUGUCUGGAGAGGAUAGUAAAACACUGCUGGAUAAACACUAGUGAACAAUAUGAAACACUACAUUCAUUCACACGCACCAGCGGGACAGUUUUAUUUUUCUGCCUCUCCCCAAUAUUGAGUUGAACACAUAACAUCAUAUUGCAGUAAACCUUGGGUAUUUGAUUUUUUUUCUCUUCUAGGAGAGUACAAUUGUAUAUUUUAUUACUUAUUAUGAAGAAAUCUCAUUAUUCCUCUGUGACAAAGAGCUCCUUUGUUGCUCCAAAAACUAUUAAAAACACAUCAAUGUGCAACACUAUUACAAUGGGUGACAUGUUCUUUCAUUACAAAGAACAUGGGCACUGUAUUUAUUUUGCAUCAGUUACGCACACACACCCUCCUCCUGUUGUAAACACUCACUAGGGACCAAAUGUGUAUUAAUCCGCUAUUGAAAAUAGUCCCCAUAAAUGCACCAUCUACUCCAGUUUGAGUAAUGCUCUCUCAAAACUACAGUAUCCAGCUAUUUCAGGAACUUACUGAGCCUUUGUUCUUUUUUCUUUUUUUUCCUUUUUUUUUUUUUUAAAUUAAACCAUACAUGAAUGUAUGCACUCUGUAGGAACAAAUAGUUGUGGGGAUCAGUGCCACAGGUAGACUAAGGAAAGUAUUGAGGGGCGGACUAACACAUUAUUGGUUUUGCUCUUUUCGUGUUAUUUUCUGCUAAUAACUGACACAGUAUUUGCGUCAACCCCACAUGUAAUGUACAUGUUCUGUAAAUACUCACGAGCACAUCAAGUGUGUAUUGUUCUGCAGCUGAAAGUAGUCCAUACCAAAUGUGCUAUUGAUUCUUGUUUAAGUAAUGUUUUGUAAAAUCUACAGUGCUCAGCUGUUGUUGGAAAUUAAACCAAAAAUAAAAAGAAAUUAAACUUUUCUUUGUUUUUGUUUUUCUUUAAUGGAAAAACAAGAAAUUAGCUUUUGUCUUGGUGCCUUAGAUAGGGUUGGGAAGCCAGACAGUGUU